rnacentral:sRNA from 1 species
CCCACGCAGUGAAAUCCAGCAUUUCUUGACUGUCAAUCAACCAUUUUUAAUCCCUGGCCAUUUCUGAUAUAUGACUAGAGAUGCUCACGUGGUUUUGCCUAUGUAGGAGUUUCCAAGCCUAAGAAGUCUGAAACGUUUGCACUCCGCAUGAGGUAUGGAUACUGGAGUUGUAUAAUGGAGCGGCUACAGGAGGGAGAGUCUGAGCAAAACAGAUCAUCGCUAUCCAAAGGGACUGGCUUCCUCCAUGGUCAGACAGCCAUGUCCCCCUCCACAGACAGGGUUAACCAGAGCCACUGCGGAGUCAAGGGUGCAGACCUGACCAGCUAGAUAGGAACUGAUACAUCCUCUUUCUCUCCCUGACCUGCCUGUCACCCAGCCCUAGCAGAGCCACUGCGACAGGGUGGAGCAAUGGCACAGGGCAGGGAAUCCUAGGACCAAACCCAGAGGAGGGAUGGUAGACAAAAUGGUGGACAAGGAUCAAGGAGUGAGCCCAGGAGGGAGAGACGUGAGCAGACGGAAAGGCAAGCUGAAUGAGAACACGUGCUGCUGGGACACCAGUCAUUCCAAACUUCCAUGCCCUCGGCAGGCCUGGCUGUAUCCACGCCAGGGCAGAGGCAGGCAGGGCUCCUAAGACCUUCCAGCUCUGCAGAGGUGGACAAGGCUAAGGUUGAAAGGCAGGAUCUGCCACUGUGUGGCCAGAUCCCCAGUUUCUUUGAACCCUGGUUUCCUCAGCUAUAACAUGGGGUCUCAUCACCUGCCCCACAAGAUUAAUCUGGAGAUUAAACUGCACCAGAGGACACAGAGACGCUGAAAGUCACUAGUCGCUAGGGCUGAUGGAGCCCUGGGAAGGCAGGGGAGGGUGUUCAGAGAGACCAUGGAGCGCCAAGCCCUUGAAAGCCUGGUAUGACCUCUCGUAGUUGUGAGUCUGACUGCAUCAUACCAGGCUGCCAGCUCUCAUAUUCAUUUGUGCCUUGGUCCCCAAGGGCUUGCCUCUUCCCUGGGAGGCUGUGCUCAACCAUGCUUGGAGAAGGCCUGUCCAUCUCCUUGGUGCUGGCAGGAGGCACCCCAUAAAUCAAUCACUAAAUUCCAGGCAGAUGCACACGUUGUUUUGGUUGGAAACCCUGAUCCUCUCUGUGGCUGUGGUGCGACCCGACUCAGGUGAUUCAGUGGGACAGAGGCCUGGAGCUGGUUCCACUAGAGGGUGACGAUAAUAUUUUCUUUCCUGUCUUACCUUGGAGACAGGGUGGGAAUUUUUCCAGCCUUCUAUAUGGGGCCAACGCAAAUGCAGGUUUACUCAGUGAAUAUUUAUAGACCCCAGGGAUCUAGUAACAUGGACUUCAGAGGUCCCCCCCGGGGGAGGGGGGCUCACAGUACACAGUACUCUCCCCAGAACCCCACUGGCCUCACAGCCAGACCAUGGAGGAGGCAAGAGACUAUAUACAUAGCAAAAGAUUGUGACUUAGCUACCUUUGGCUCUGGGUUCAAAUCUCAAGCCUGAUACUUUACCAAACCUCAGCUGAUGUUUCUGCAAACCCGGGGAAGAAACCAAAAAUUUAGGAAGUCCUGAUGUCAGAUUUAAACUACUAUCUAUGAGAUGUUCAGGACUCAGCACAUUUUAAUCAUCUGGAAGAUUACUGAUAUCAAUGUAAUGUUAUGAGUGCUUAGAGAAGGGACACAGCUAACCGAUGUCCCAAAGCAGUGAGAAUUCAGGUGCCUUGAGAAGCAAGAGGUCAGAAUUGAGAUUGGGGCCAAGUAUCAGCCCUCAGGCUUCCUGAAGAUGACCCAGUAAGAAUGAGGAUGUCCAAGUAUGGGGUAGGACAGAGCAGUGAUGUCAGCGCUUUGGUAGUGCUAAAGGACCUCUAAGCCUGGGAGGCUGGUCCUCUACAUCGGUUUGAUGGAUGCUCCUAUCCUGCCCCUCCCUGGGUCUCAGGCUGCUUGGUUCGUUUCUUUCUUUCUCUCCUUCCCAUUUCCCUCCUUUGCAUUUUACUCUGCGGCUCAGGAUGGCUUCAAACACAUGACAACGCUUCCCUGAGAACUAGCUUCAAGGGCACCACACACAGCUUAGGUCUCUGCUUGUCAUUACAGACCCAGGGGUGGGUGGCAGGCUUUCUGGGGUCCCCAGCUUUCUUCUGGACAGAGUCUAGAUCUAAACUUGCUAGCACGUGAGUGUCUGGAAUCCUACAGUGACACAGCCAUUCACCAAGCAUGUGCUCUGUAUAAAAAACACUGAGCAUUUGACUUAAACAGUCUCCUUACCCCUCCGCACGCCCCCAGAAGGUGUCCUGUCACUGUGCCAUUGUGUAAAGAAGAGAAUUAAGUAACACCGUUGUCAAGGUAGAACCAGGAUUUGAAACCAGGCUGACGCUACCCUGCUGUCCCUCUCAUACCUACGCAUACACCCGCAUCACAUGCAUGGUCCUGCCUGUGCUCAGGCAGCUCCCAGAGACUGAGCUCAGCUGACUAACGGCAUGAGGAGAGGAGGCAAAGGCAGGGCAGAGGGGUGAGCUCAGCAGGGCUUCACUGAGAAGGCGAGAGGAUGUGCUUGUGAAUGCUGUCGCUUUGUCCUAGGUUCAAAUCCCAAGCCUGACAUUUCUGCUGAGUAUCCACUGACACCUCUACACACGAGCUCUACCCCUUUGUCCUUAGAGGGGUCCCUAGAUGCUAGUUUGUCUGCUGGCAGCCUCUAGGUAGCCAGUUACUUGGCUCUCCGCCCCAGCCCAAAUGCCUACCCUCCCCAGCUGAACACUUGUGACUCUUAGGAAAGGUUUUUACCUUUGUGAGCCUGUCUGCUCAUUUGUGACAUGGAGCAUGAACCCUCCACCUCAGAGUUGUCCAGAGGACACAGUGCCUGCUCCAGGAGCUCAUGGGAUAUCAAGAUACCAUAUGUUAUACAUGCUGUGAAGCCGAUCCAAUGGCCACCUGUCACAGCUUCUUCUGACUACUACAAAUGGCCGGUACCUUCUCUGUUCCUAUAGCACAUGGUUCACCCUACAGCUAUUGCCCUCUCCCUACAGACUCCGGGCUGCUUGGGGCUGAUGUUAAGACAGUUUGCCUUGGGACCCUCAGAACCAGGUCUGGCUCAGAGCAGAUGUUCAGGGGACAUUCACAGCAACAAUGGGUGACAUAGGCGUGGAUGGCCCUAAGGCCCUCUUUGUUCUCCAGGGCACCCUGCCAUCCGCUUCCCUUCUCUUUCCUAUGGCAGGGCAUCUGCUCCAACACACAUUCUGGGCGAGCCCAAGGCACAGAGAAGUGAAGCAGAGAGUGUCCGCAUGGCUUCCCCACCAGCCACCGUUCCAGAGGAGGCAAGGCUCAGGCAUGUACCGGGAGGGUGGGGUCUGUCACAGUCACAUACCCACCUGCUCAGCCAUCAUUGUAGAGCCAGGCCAGGGUACCAAAGCUGACUGUUCAAAGAGAUAAAAGGCCGGGAAACAAGAGAAUACAAGGGAGGGAUGGGAAAAGAGGAGAAGGAAAAAAUAAUUUUUGAAAAAAAAAGGGGUUCUUUUGGUGUUUGUUUUCAAAGCCACUGACGAAAACCAGAUUUGAAGUUUGGGGUAAAAAGGGAUUUGGGCCUUUCAAAUUCCACUCUCCACUAAUUGACUGCAGUUUCUCUUGAAAGAGCCCUCAGCUCUUCAGAACAAUCAGCAGCCCAGCUGGGCCUCUGCAGCCAGCAGCAGCCUGGCUCCAGAGGGUCGCCCUUGCUAUGUGAGUACCAAGUGACACAGGCCGUUGGACAGAUGGAGGGACAGGCAGGGGUGAAGGACUCUCAAAAGGCACACUUGGAGCCACAUGGGAAGGCCAGGUCAGGAGUCACAUCUAGGCUGCCUGCCUGCCUCCCAGUGCUUGCUCUGUCCUUGGCUGCCUGCCCCUCACGGUGCUUGUGGCUUUCCAGGACAGUAGUGAGCCACGAUGGAUUCAACAGGAGGCUGUAGUGUAGGUUUUCUGUUAGCAACAUACGAGGGUAGGUAUGUUGCUCUUCCCACAUUGUAGCAUACUGACGGCAUCUCCACCUCUCCUCCAGCCAAGUCAAAAGUACCCCCAGCUCAGGCCCUGCUAAUCCUUCCUUACACAGUGUGCACCAUUUUGUAACAGCUUUCUUUGUAGCAAUUCAGAAGCAAACAUUCCUGUUCCCUCUCCACAUAGGGAGAAGCUUAGAUCCAAAGGCCCUCAGCUCCCACAACCCAGUGCUGGGACAAUCCAAGGACUUGUCAUGGGCAGUUCAGACUGUCUCAUGUCAACUCCCGACCCUCAGCCCAGGCAGCUGAGGAAUGAGGCAAAGCCACUUGCCUACUCAGGGGUCCAGUCCUAGCUGUGAGUGGCCCUUCCCAGGCCCCACCCACCCACCAUGUUAAAAAGUAGUCCUGGGAAAAGCUAGCUGUCCCUCCCCAAGUAGCCAAUGCUAUUUUUCUCAGCAGAGGCUGGCUCCUUCUCUUUUCAGUGCCCACACCUAGCCCCGGAGGUGGCCUCCACUGCUGCCCUGGAGUGUGCUCUCCCCGUUCCUGGCCCAGCCUCUCUUCCUUCUACCCUGUAGACAACGGCUCCUGUGCAUGAGCUGCCUCAGUGAACGGAUGGUUUUCUCAAUGCAGAAUCUCAGUGCCCGCUGGGAGAGCCCUGAGGUCCUGCAAUGUUCAGACAGCAGGGGAGUUGGAGGUAUAGGGAGGACCAGGGUGUCCAACUGGGUGAUCCUUCUCUAGUUCUUGGGCUCCUCAUUGAGAAGACAAGGUUGGACACUGUCUUUUCAGACAUUUGUGGACAGGGUCUUCUGGCCCCUUGGGGAUGGCGUUGUCAUAGUGACCCUUGAAGAUGAGGGCUGAGGUGAUUAUGAAGCCCCAGAGAGGCGGGGCCUUGGUAGCAGAGGGCUAACAGCAUCCUUGGCACAUCUUUUUGACACAGUGCUCUUCUUGAGCUUCUGGGAAGGAAGAGCUGGGUCUCAGAAGGUGCGAGGGAGUGACCAGUGACUGGUGGCCCCUGGCUCAACCGGCCGAAGGCAGUCAUCAGCAUGAUCCUAUUGCCACCAUAAUUACAAACACCAGCAGCACAGCUGCCCAGAGCUAAGCUGCCGUGCUUGGAUGGAGGGAACACGGAGUCCAGGUAACACACAGUUCAUCGCAGAGCUGUUCUUGGGGCAUAGAAUAGGCUGCACUCAAGUAAGAGCUCCGUAAAUGCCAGCGAUUGACUGAGCAACAAAAGUCCCGGCCACAGUGGUUUCUUUCUGUGCCCGUGGCUUACACAUCACACAAACACCAAGGUGUCCCCAGGCAUGCUACCUGCCAGGAACCCACAACAGGGUCCUACAAGACAGUGAACUAAUAUCCAGAUGCAUACAAGUCAGAGCUCCAAGUCCCAGGCUGGAGUGGAAGGACCGCACCAUUCAUGCUACAGUACCAUGUUAAGCCGCUUCGAGGUGACCCUACAGAGUACUGCUGUCAUCUCCACGGCUCUCAGAGGAGAAAUCAGGGCUCAGAGAAACUAAGUAACCUCAACAAAGGGGUAAUUGAACUGGGAUUUACCUUGAGUCUACUUGGCUCCUUCUAAGUCAUUUUCAAUCAAAGCAUUAAUGAAUGGGGCGAAGUGGACGCCAGGCGAGCAUUGCAGGGAGGCUAGCACGUGCACAGGCUGUUGGGUGGGCCUUCUGGCUAGCACUUGUACAGCAAGGAUGUGGGAGAUCCUGCCAAACUUAGCCACUCUGGAAGCUUGGAGCACUGAGAAACACGGGUGAAAGUGCA